rnacentral:rRNA from 1 species
AACGAACGCUGGCGGCAUGCCUAACACAUGCAAGUCGAACGAAGGCUUAGGCCUUAGUGGCGCACGGGUGCGUAACGCGUGGGAAUCUGCCCCUCGGUUCGGAAUAACAGUUAGAAAUGACUGCUAAUACCGGAUGAUGACUUCGGUCCAAAGAUUUAUCGCCGAGGGAUGAGCCCGCGUAAGAUUAGGUAGUUGGUGGGGUAAAGGCCUACCAAGCCGACGAUCUUUAGCUGGUCUGAGAGGAUGAUCAGCCACACUGGGACUGAGACACGGCCCAGACUCCUACGGGAGGCAGCAGUGGGGAAUAUUGGACAAUGGGCGAAAGCCUGAUCCAGCAAUGCCGCGUGAGUGAUGAAGGCCUUAGGGUUGUAAAGCUCUUUUACCAGGGAUGGUAAUGACAGUACCUGGAGAAUAAGCUCCGGCUAACUCCGUGCCAGCCGCCGCCGUAA